UGGUGAUGAAUUGGUGGUCACUCCCGCCUAAUCGGCCAUAAGUUGCUAAGCUUCUGAUUUCAGACGACACCCAGUUCAAUUACACUCACCACAUCCAUCUCUCAAUCCUUCUGUAAUUUCUAUUUCACUUUUCAAGGUCUGCAAAUCCCAGGGUUUGUGAGGCUGUCAAACGUUUAGUGACCAGCUCCACCGCCUUCUGUAAAGACUAGAAACGCUUCUUCUCUGCCAUUUGUCGCCUUCACUAUCAAUCACAGAAACCUUUCCAUUGGAGAAAAAUCUACCCGACGUUUAAAAAAUCCCAUCGCUACUUUGAUUUCAGGUGAUGAGGAAUUGCAAGCAGUUCUUAAAUAGGGUGAUGGAGAGUAAGACGACGACAGGUGUAAGGACACCUGCAGACCUGCGUACUGUAGCUGACCAGCUUCAAAGCCACCCUGGAUCUUUAAAUUACUUUAUUUUGAAUCUAAUUUCCCCAAAUUUAAGACUGAUUUUUGAAGUACAUGAUUUUGAGCUGCUAGUCAGUCAACUUUUUGGUUCACUUUCUUUGACAGUAACUUUAGGGUUUCGUGCAAAUCGAAAUAUUUUCUUUUUACUUGACUUUUAUUAGGAAAUAUAGCAUCCUACAAAAACAGAAGAAAUUGACACUACAAUAUGCAAAAAAUGAGUUAUUUUAUGCAACAAAUGCCCUAUCAUGGCUGUUUAAUUUGUUGUUGGUAAUUUUUUUGGUUAAUGUAUGCUUACUUGAAGGUUAUAUUAGACAUUUGAAUGAUAAUCCAACAUUUCGAUCAAACUCCAUAUAGAGCUAAACCAUGAUAUAGAAGGAAGGAGUAUCUCAAUCCCUUCCAAAAUAAUGACAUAGGUGACUUUAUGGUUUACAUGGUGGUUGAAUCACAACCACAAUCAUGAAUCGGGUCAGACUUCUACACAUGUCAUGAUCGUCUCAGUCUUGACCAUAGUUACCUAAUUCGCGGAUCGAUCCGGUACGGGAACGAGGUACGGGUACGGGAUUCACUAGAUUGGACGUAUCCGAUUCGGAGGGGAUAGGCUCAUUUCGGUACGAACCGGUACGGUGUACCAUGAAGUCCGGUACAGUGUACCCAAAUGUAAACCAUUUUUAGAAACAUAUUAUUGUAAAUGUAUGAUAAACAAGGAACAUAUUAUAUCAAGAUUACCAAAAUACCAAAAACAUAGUCUUAAUUCAUUAAGUACCAAAAGAUGUAACAGAUUACAUGCAAAAUUACCAAACAUUAAACAUCACAAAAUUACCAAACAUAAAACAUCUAAUCUAACCGCUGCCUUUUUCCUUUUCCGUUCUCCACGCUUUCUUCAUCAAGAUUCUCCCAAGUCAUUUCCUCCAAUCGGGCACUUGAACCUUCUAUAUAAUCGCUUUCCGGAUUUAUGUCCCAUUUUUUCAGGGGUCCGGAUUUAUAAGAUUCUGAGAAAUGGGAUAGAAGCCGAAUGUUUGAGUGAAUAAAAACUAGUUUGUCCGCUCUCUUGCAAUUUAAACGAUUUCGCUUCACGUUAUGAAUAUAGGAGUAUGUACUCCAAUUUCUCUCCGUCGAGGAGCUACUAAUCGGUUGAGAGAAAA